rnacentral:rRNA from 1 species
UGUAGAUGUAUGACUUACUUGGACUGAUUGAUAUUUUGACAGGAAGUGAGUGGCGAACGGGUGAGUAACACGUGGGUAACCUGCCCAGAAGUCCGGGAUAACACCUGGAAUCAGAUGCUAAUACCGGAUAACAGAGAAAACCGCAUGGUUUUCUUUUAAAAGAUGGCUCUGCUAUCACUUCUGGAUGGACCCGCGGCGUAUUAGCUAGUUGGUGAGGUAAAGGCUCACCAAGGCUGUGAUACCUAACCGACCUGAGAGGGUAAUCGGCCACAUUGGGACUGAGACACGGGCCAAACUCCUACGGGAGGCAGCAGUUCCACAAUCUUCCACAAUGGACGCAAGUCUGAUGGAGCAACGCCGCGUGAGUGAAGAAGGGUUUCGGCUCGUAAAGCUCUGUUGUUAAAGAAGAACGUGGGUAAGAGUAACUGGUUACCCAGGGACGGUAUUUAACCGGAAAGCCA